AUGCAUUCGAGUCUUUCUGCAUCACAUGUGAGAGGCCGCUGGGUGCCGGAGGGAGGGAGGGGAUCAGACGAGGAGUUGACCAGGUGCGCAUCAGACGGCGGAGCGGCGAGGGUGAGCGCGCCGCCGGGGAGCUGCCAGGUCCGGUGGGUGCCGCCGUGCCGGAGGGGAUCGGACGAGGAGCUUAGCGCUGAGCGGGUGGCGCAUCGGGCGGUUGAGAGGUCCCGGCGGCGUGGCGAUGCAGUGAGGCUGAGCCGGUGCCUCCCUGAUCGAAGCCUCCUCCGACUACGGCCGCCGCCGCCGCCGCCACCUCCAGGCUGCGCCGCCCGCCCGCCCGCCGGCAUCUCCACCGAGCGUCACCCGCGCCGCCCGCCGCCGGCAUCUCGUCCGGAAUUUCCCCCCGAUCUGAAGCGGAGCUCGGCUCGCACGCCAUCUCUGCGAUUGGACUGGGCCGUUCCUUCCCCGGCCGCCCGCACCGGUUCAUCCACGAGCGCCGCCAGCUCCUCUGACUCCGGCACCCAUCGCCACCUCAAGGCUGCGCCGUUCGUCCGCCAGCAUCUACCCCGAGCAGAGAAGCGCCCAUAUCGUCCGCCCGCUGCGCGUGCUCGCCACUGCAGUCUCUCCUUCACCGGCCGUGGAUCCCCCAAUAAUCCAGCCAUGGCCUCCGCCGCCGCGGUUUUCGCAGGCAAAGCCAUUGCAACGUCAAUCAUCACCAAUAUUGUCAGCAAGGCCUUUGACUAUCUCAAGGACAGCCACAAAGCCGGAGGGCUCAAGAGCGCCAGAGAGAGGCUAGAGAGGCUGCUUCCACAGAUCCAGGUCGUCUUUGACGCUGUUGACACGGAGGAAAUCAGGGAUCGGAGCAACGCGCUGGAUGCAUGGCUGUGGCAGCUCAGAGAUGCCGUGGAGGAAGCCGAAGACGCCGUCGACGAGCUCGAGUACUACAGGCUCGAGGAGAAGGAGAUGAAAAGGCAAGAUAAUAACAAGGUGCGCCGCUCUGUCAGUAAGUACAAGCGCAAGGUCAUCCAAGGGUUCAAUCGUGCAUUCAACACAGGGUCACUAGAGAGGCUGAGAAAUUCAGUCACGACCCUAGAUGAUGUCGCGGCCGGCGUAGAGCGUUUCUUGCAGGUUCUCAACCACUUGAACAACGAUAAGAUGAAGAAACAUAAACAGGAUGUGGAGUUCAGAAACUCGCGCCAGACAAGCUCGCUGCCUCGCGGCCUUCUGCUUGGCAGAGAGGAAGAGAGGAAGAUUAUAUUCCAGCGGUUGACCAAGCAUGAAAGUGGUGCCGGCGAUAAUAUUGCCGUGUUUUCACUAGUUGGUAUAGGUGGAAUAGGGAAGACGUCACUCGCUCAAGAUGUAUGCAAUGCUAGAGAUGUCAAAGACCGCUUCGAUUUCGUCAUCUGGGUUUGUGUUUCUCACGAUUUCGACAUUCAGGCACUAACAAGAAAGAUCCUUGAGGACAUGACCGGAAGAGAGGCACCCAUGGUUAGUCUAAAUGCACUCCAGAAAGAACUCAAGGAGAGGUUGAGUUCCAAGACCUUUCUCCUUGUACUGGAUGAUGUAUGGAAUGAUGAGAGAUAUCAGGAUUGGGUGAAUUUUUUAUGUCCAUUGAGAUGUGGGAAGAAAGGAAGCAAGAUCCUCCUGACAACCCGAAUGCAGUUGGUAGCUGAUGUUGCUUCAAGAGCGGUGCAGGGGGAAAGAACACUACAGGUGGAAUGCCACUCUCUAGCAUUGCCUGGCUUGGAAGAAACUGACCUCCUGCUUCUUUUGAACAGCCAUGCAUUUUUCGGUGUUAAUCCUGAUGAUUAUAGGAGCCUACAACAGAUCAGCAAGAAAAUGGUAAACAAACUCAGUGGUUCUCCAUUGGCAGCAAAAGUUCUUGGUGGAUUGUUGAACGGCAACAAGGAUAGUAACACGUGGAACAGAAUUUUGGACUCGGGCGUUCAUAAUGCACAACAGGGCAGUGAGGGGAUUAUGACGGUGUUGAGGCUAAGUUAUCAACAUUUAGCAACACAUUUGCAGGUGUGUUUCAGGUAUUGCAGCUUAUUUCAGAAAGGCUAUGAGUUCACAAAGAAAGAAUUGGUGUACUUGUGGAUGGGUUCAGGACUGAUCCAGCCAUCGGUGGAUGACACGAUACAGCCAGAGGAUAUUGGAAUGGAGUAUUUAGACACAUUAUCUAGAAAGUCCUUCUUUGACAUCAAAUCAGAGCCUCAUGAUAGUCGCACUAUAAAAUGCUGUUUAUAUGAUGAAUAUUCCGAAGAGAGAUUUGUUAUGCAUGAUCUCUUGCAUGAGUUGGCCCGGUCUGUGUCAGCAAGUGAAUGCACAAGAGUGGACUUAAAUUUCUCUGGUUGCAUUCCGAAGACUGUCCGUCAUAUAUGCAUUGACAUGAUAAACCCUACUAUUGUUGAACAGAUCUCCCACGCAAAGAGACUGCGUACGCUUCUUAUGCAUUUUGAAGACCGACACGAGGCAGACCAAGUGCGCAUGCUCAGUGAAGUGUUGGGUGUGGCCAGAAGCUUACGAGUGUUAUCCAUAAUAACAAACUCACCGUGUAAGCUUCCUGAUUCGGUGGGUGGUUUAAUGCACCUUCGCUAUUUGUCUCUUAAGUGGGGCCGGAAAAAAGUGACGCAUUGCUGUUGGUUUCCGAAGCCUGUGUACAAGCUUUAUCACUUACAAGUACUGAAGUUCGAUGAUCACCAACAAACGGCUCCUCAGAAAAGAGAAAUGGACAGAGUGUGCAACCUAGUUAAUUUACGUCAUCUACAACUAUCUCAAGGAAUAAUACCAACGAUUCCUUGUGUAGGAAAGCUUACUUCUCUCCAUGAGCUGUAUGGUUUCUGCAUCAAACAAGAAGGUGGUUACACUAUUGGUGAACUAAAGAAUCUGACAAACAUCCGGCAUUUAUAUGUUUCUGGUCUUGACAAGGUAAACAGUGCAGAAGAAGCUGCUGAAGCUAUGUUGGGCCAGAAAAAGUGUCUGUCAGCUGUAACAUUAAGUUGGUCUCCAGGCUCUUCAAAUUCAUGCACGCAAAGCCAAGCUGAGUUGGUUCUCGACAAACUUGAACCACACCAUAAUUCCAAUAAAUUGAAGAUUGAAGGAUAUCCUGGUUCUCGAUCCCCAUGUUGGCUGCAAAAUCCCACUCUCAUUAAUUUGACAUAUGUUCACAUACGUGAUUGUAAAAGAUUGGAGAGUCUUCCACCUCUUGGGCAGUUACAUUCUCUACAGUAUCUUUACAUAAUUAACAUGGAAUCAGUAAAGGGUGUGGAUUCCUCAUUUUAUGGAAGUGAAAAUCCUUGUGGAUUGCACUAUCUGAAGGUGCUAGAGAUUGAAAGCAUGCCGAAAUGCCUGGAAUGGGUUGGAUUGGAGGGUAAGAAUGUAUUCCCUAGGCUUGAGAUGCUGAAAGUGCGUGACUGUGAGGCGCUGAGAACAUUGCCGAGUGUACCUACCAGUAUUCGCCAUGUUGAAAUCCAUAAUGCUGGUUUGUUGGCCAUGCCAACAUUUUUUGGGGGUUCCGAGACAAGCUCGUCACCAUCAUUGGAUCUGGCUCUCUCUAAGCUCAUGAUUUCCCACUGCCGAAGUUUAGAAACUCUAUGGCAGGGGUGUUCUCUAUCUGCACUCGUGGAAUUGUCCAUCCAACAAUGCGCAAGCUUGUCAUGUCUAUCGGAGGAUUCAUUUUGUUCACUUGCCUCCAUGGAAACCUUUGAAGUAGUGAAGUGCCCAAAUUUGGUGACAGGAGAAAUCAGGUUGCCCCCUACCGUGAGAACCAUCAUUUUCGGAUUGUGCGGUGAAGCUGAACAACCACUAGUUCAUUCAAUGAAAGGUCUUAAUUCGUUGGCAAUGUUAUUUUUAGAUGGUUGUGCACUGUCAGUUUUCCCUUCAGAAGUGUUUGCAUGUUUGCCAGGGUUAACUAAUAUGGUGUUUGGUAAUUGUGCAAUUACAUCUCUUCCCUUGGCUGAAGCCUUUGCAAGAUUGACAAAUCUUGAAAACUUGUCCAUAUGGGAUUGCCAAGAGCUAGUUUCAAUCAGUGGGAUCCAUGGGAGUCCAUCACUAAUGUCACUGCAAAUCCAGGGAUGCAAAAAGAUCACCGCAGAUCUAUCCGCUGAGAGGGUGGAUGACCCUGCUAAUUUGUCUAGCCUGACUGAGCUUGAUAUUGACAAUCCGUCACUCUUGCUAAGUGAGCCAUUACGAAGCAUCUCGUGUGUCAAGAAACUUAUAAUUGCUGGUGGUCCUGAACUGAGACACUUACCUGAGGAGUGGUUACUGCAAAAUGAGGCACUUAAAGAACUAGUGGUGUCUGAUGCUUCUCAUCUGAUAUGCCUGCCCCCACAAGUAGCACGACUGAGCUCUAUUGAAUCCUUCGAUAUAUCCAACGCGAAGUUGAUACGGAGUUUGCCUGACAUGCCUGCUUCUCUGAGGACUCUACGAAUAAACAAUUGCCACUCUGAGCUCAAACAGCGAUGCCAAAAGAACAAGGGACUUGAUUGGUAUAUCCUGCCUUCCGGUGUUUCUGUAAAUAGUCAUGUGCCUGCGUCCACUCUCCAAAGGUUGCACUAUUUGGUACUUCCGGCAUUGAAUCUGUGGCUUAUGGAACAUGAAAGUGACCCAGACGUUGAUCAGCUACCGUUGCAGCAGCUUACCUUGCUUGCAGGGAAGAACAACACCUGCAUCUUCUUCCGUUUUCAUUCAGCUUCAGCACCAACACCUCAAACGGCAACACAGUUUCAUAACCGGCGCUGGCGCUGGUGCUGGUGCUGGCGCUGGUGCCGUAUCGGUGCAUUGCAUUUCCAUAUCAGGGAGAAGGUGCGGAGCUUGCCGGAUUUGCUGGCUGAUCAAGCUCACCUGCUCACUGUUCAGGAGGAGGUUCUAGAUUGUGGUCACCCUCCUCGACGACGAUCAACAAUGACGAGGAACUUCUGUCUGCUGCUAUUAGGAAGGAGGUCUUGCUCUGCUUGCUGCUUUGUGUGCUGUGUGCGCGCGCUAUAUCUGUGUUGA
rnacentral:rRNA from 1 species